GUUAAUGUAGCUUAAGCACUCAUAAAGCAAGACACUGAAAAUGUCUAGAUGGGUUAAAUUAACCCCAUUGGCA
rnacentral:tRNA from 1 species